rfam:Trichophyton benhamiae CBS 112371 Abenha-G-c-208f01.r1, whole genome shotgun sequence.
AGAUCAAAAAUGCUAACAGAACCAGCCACGACCGUCAUUUACAAAAUACAACCCCAAAGUGAUGUGUUGCCAUAGAAUCUAGUUUACUAGUUUCUUACGGUUCUGGAGAAUAUUGUUCCUAGACAGGAAGUUCCACUCCCGUUGAGUCCUUUUAAAUAAGGGCGAUGGGAAUGGAAUGUCGAAGACGGGAUACAUUU